GUGAGGGAGGGAGUGGGUGACUAGUGACAGAGUGAGGGAGGGUGGGACUAGUGACAGAGUGAGGGAGGUGGUGACUGUCACUAGUCACCACCUCCCUCACCCUGUCACUAGUCACCACCUCCCUCACUCUGU